rnacentral:tRNA from 1 species
GCAGGUAUAGCUCAAGUGGUAGAGCACAUGCUUAGCAUGCACGAGGUCCUGGGUUCAAUCCCUAGUACCUCCU